AACGAACGCUGGCGGCAGGCUUAACACAUGCAAGUCGAACGCAUCCUUCGGGGUGAGUGGCAGACGGGUGAGUAACGCGUGGGAACGUGCCCUUCAGUUCGGGAUAACCCAGGGAAACUUGGGCUAAUACCGGAUACGUGCGAGAGCAGAAAGAUUUAUCGCUGAAGGAUCGGCCCGCGUCUGAUUAGUUAGUUGGUGGGGUAAUGGCCCACCAAGGCGACGAUCAGUAGCUGGUCUGAGAGGAUGAUCAGCCACAUUGGGACUGAGACACGGCCCAAACUCCUCCGGGAGGCAGCAGUGGUGAAUAUUGGACAAGGGGCGCAAUCCUGAUCCUGCCAUGCCGCGUGAGUGAUGAAGGCCUUAGGGUUGUAAAGCUCUUGCGUCCGGUACGAUAAUGACGGUACCGGAAGAAGAAGCCCCGGCUAACUGCGUGCCAGCCGCCGCGGUAA
rnacentral:rRNA from 1 species